UGACGAGUGGCGGACGGGUGAGUAAUGCUUGGGAACUUGCCUUUGCGAGGGGGAUAACAGUUGGAAACGACUGCUAAUACCGCAUAAUGUCUUCGGACCAAACGGGGCUUCGGCUCCGGCGCAAAGAGAGGCCCAAGUGAGAUUAGCUAGUUGGUAAGGUAACGGCUUACCAAGGCGACGAUCUCUAGCUGUUCUGAGAGGAAGAUCAGCCACACUGGGACUGAGACACGGCCCAGACUCCUACGGGAGGCAGCAGUGGGGAAUAUUGCACAAUGGGGGAAACCCUGAUGCAGCCAUGCCGCGUGUGUGAAGAAGGCCUUCGGGUUGUAAAGCACUUUCAGUUGUGAGGAAAAGUUAGUAGUUAAUACCUGCUAGCCGUGACGUUAACAACAGAAGAAGCACCGGCUAACUCCGUGCCAGCAGCCGCGGUAAUACGGAGGGUGCGAGCGUUAAUCGGAAUUACUGGGCGUAAAGCGCACGCAGGCGGUUUGUUAAGCUAGAUGUGAAAGCCCCGGGCUCAACCUGGGAUGGUCAUUUAGAACUGGCAGACUAGAGUCUUGGAGAGGGGAGUGGAAUUCCAGGUGUAGCGGUGAAAUGCGUAGAUAUCUGGAGGAACAUCAGUGGCGAAGGCGACUCCCUGGCCAAAGACUGACGCUCAUGUGCGAAAGUGUGGGUAGCGAACAGGAUUAGAUACCCUGGUAGUCCACACCGUAAACGCUGUCUACUAGCUGUGUGUGUCUUUAAGACGUGCGUAGCGAAGCUAACGCGCUAAGUAGACCGCCUGGGGA
rnacentral:rRNA from 1 species